UUUUUUUAUGUACAGUGACAAAUAAAAACAACAACAUUGCUUUAUUUUCUACGGAGCGCUGUUUGAAGAGAGGGUCAGCGCGCACCAAGGAGAUAUUUAUAUUUGUUUUGAUUUAUGCAGCGUCAUUUCGCGUUUUUGCACUUGUGAAAACGUCGCACCUUUUACGUGCACCUCACAGUCAAAAUAGCGCCUUCGUCUUCAAGUGAGCGCUCGUCACCCUCCACCUUUCCCGACGACUCGCCUAGGGAGCUUCUGACGAAUUUCACUAGCAAAUGGCUGUAUAAGCCUGAGACGGCCGCUCGAACAAUGAAAUGGCCGUCACAUGAGGUACGGAAGGUUCACAAACCAAAACUAAAUUCGAAACGCGCGCCAAACCGGACUAUUUCGCGGAGCAGUACAUGUGCAGUAGCUCCGCCCCCGUAGCCUUCCCUUCAUUGCCAAGAAAAGUUGUCCUUGGGGGCGCUUUCGUUGUUUGACGGGUGCACGGUGCGCGCGGUUUGUGUGUGUGUGUGUGCCAUGCUGUGUUCUGCAAUGCUUCGUUACCACGUUUAUCGAUUAUGCACGUUGGUUACUUGAUUCAAUGUCAAGUGUACCUUCCAAGACGAUCUAGGUCCUAGUCUCGUGACUGAAGGCGAGUGCGGACGUACAGCAGCCUUUUGACAAGACUGUCGCCGAGUGUACGGUACAUUGUGGACUGUAAAGCUGAAGAGUGCACAGUGGAUGCCUGAUUUUGGAACCGAGUGUGAUCGUCUGGGCGGUGUGUUCACUCUGCGGGGAUGAUGGCCAGAGGAAGGAUGAUAGACAGACGACAGCUUGCAGACGAAGAUGGGAGCGUUCUACCUGUGAGCCUGGUCGAGCUUAUAUUUUAUGGAUACACAUGCAUGGAUACACAUACAUGGAUUCCCUACAAGGACCCUGCGCAUCAAAAGCAAUCUGUCAUCAAUAUUAAGUAGACAGAUUAAACGAAACGAAGAUAUGACAGGUGUACACCAUAUUUUUCUUUCAUUUAACCUCUGCAUGUUUCCCAGUCAAUAAAUGUUUU